rnacentral:rRNA from 1 species
GCCACACAGUGGGGGAUACCAGCCGGAAACGGGUGCUAAUACCGCAUGUGGUGUUCAUUGUAAGGAUGAGCAAGAAAGCAGCAAUGCGCUGUGUGAGGGGCCUGCGGCCGAUUAGCUAGUUGGGGUGGUAAGGGCGCACCAAGGCGACGAUCGGUAGCUGGUCUGAGAGGAUGAUCAGCCACACUGGGACUGAGACACGGCCCAG